CAAUACACGGCUGCAAUGGCACUGAUCCGAAGAAGAAGGGACGAAGAAGUCGCCGCCGCAAUUCAUUAUUUUAAGAAACCACCUCCGAUUCAACAACCGUUGACGUGUCGAAAUAUUUUCGCUUCGAAUUCAAACGCACUAAAUACGGAGUAGGAGUGAGUUACAUGUGGACACGUGGAGAUGACUAAUGGAUUCGGAUUGAAGCAACUGCCAUUCUCUUUCUGCCGCCAACAGAAACUGCCAUUUCUUGCUUUAGAGCUUUUGAGCGAGGCCUAGGUCUAUUUCAGAAGGGCGCCUUCACUGACCGAAGCCGAACUCAUCGACGAUGGUUCGAUUGUUGUCCAUCCUUUAAACUAGUCGCAUUCAAAGAGGGCUUUAAGGUUUCUGAGAUUCGUGGAUAACAACUCCUUUUUUCGACCAUCGUGAAUUGCUUCUAUAUCCAUGGUCAAAGCAGCGAUUGGGGUUUUUUCUUCACAUCUCGGGGGUUUCUCCUUUUUUUUUUGUUUCAUUUUCUUUUAUUAAAAAUGAUGCAAUGCAUUGUUACUUGUAUUAUCAAUGUGCAGCGCAGCUGUGCAGGGUAUAAUUCGUGGUUACCUAGUUUCAUCUCAUCUCUGAGCUUCAAGCAAGGAAGAAAAUGGUUUAAAUUGCCAAGGUCUUAUAAUAGCUAGUGCUCUAGGAAGAAGAAAUAUUUCAAGUAUACCAUAAAAAUCAAAAGAACUUCAUCUAGAGGACAUUAUACACCGAAACUUGGUUUAUGUACUGCCAUUAACUAGAUCAAAUUUAUAGUGAUUAAGGUGAUUUUUUGUUGGAUAAUAUUUCCAAGAUUUUAUCUUCCUCUACUAAAGUUCCAAACCUUUACAACCAUUGAUUUUACUUGAAUAGCAGAAGGGAAAGGACAGCAUCUAAUACUCAUCUCAGACUUAAUUCCAAAUAUUUGGGGUUGGCUACAAUUAUCCUCUCGUGCCAUUGCCUGCUAUCAAGAUCCAUGUUUUCUGUCAAAUUAUAAGUCCUUGAAUCAUUCUUUUAUCAUUUCAGAUCAUGUUUUCUUUGGUCUUCCCUUUGCUCUUUAAAAGCCUAGUAGCUGUCUGGCACUGGAGCUGAAUUACAGGUACUGAAUAAUACUCAAGACUUGUUACAUGCUUCCAAGGGAUAUGAGGGAUCAGCUUCUGUUGUUGAAGUUUCCAAUUGAUCAAAUAGCAUUCAUGGAGUUCCCGAUGGCCAUACAUUCUUAACUAGUAGUCUAUUGAUACAUCAAACCUCUUGGUUGUGAAGUUCUUUUGGUGUCUGUAUCAAAUGAUUUUUCAUCAGUUCUUACUGGUUGGCAGGAAAAUGAGACCCAUAAACUCUGGGAUGACGAACUUAAACAGUCAAUAGGCGUGAGCUAAUUUUGGUCACAUUUGGAACAGAUCUGUGUUGGAUGUAAUUUUGGUCACAUUUGUCUUACCAUGUGAUACUGUGCCCCUAAAAGUGUUGGUGUGCUGGAUGUGUUUCACCAUCUAAGGAUUCUGUUUUUCCUGUUGAGGGAAACCUGGCAUUACUUGUUGAUAUUGUCAUUGAAUGAUGUUUCUGAAAAGCAGAAUGGGAUGAGGAGCAUGAGAAUGGUGUAGUUUGUCUUAUAGGCAAGACGCAAUUACCAGAAUCUUAUUAUGAGAUGAAAGGAGAUGCUGAUUCAAUUUUAGUUGAAAUGGAAGAUCAAACUCAAGGAGGUUUACCCUCCAACACCGGAUAAGUCUAAAUUUUGCACAAAAUACUGUUUUACAAUUAUUUAGCCAUCUAUUUGCAAGCAUUUAGACACUUAGACUUGUGAAGUA